GACGAACGCUGGCGGCGUGCUUAACACAUGCAAGUCGAACGCUGAAGCCCUUUCGGGGGUGGAUGAGUGGCGAACGGGUGAGUAACACGUGGGUAAUCUGCCCUGUACUUCGGGAUAAGCCUUGGAAACGGGGUCUAAUACCGGAUAGGACCUGUCCUCGCAUGGGGGUGGGUGGAAAGUUCCGGCGGUAUGGGAUGAGCCCGCGGCCUAUCAGCUUGUUGGUGGGGUAGUGGCCUACCAAGGCGACGACGGGUAGCCGGCCUGAGAGGGUGACCGGUCACACGGGGACUGAGACACGGCCCAGACUCCUGCGGGAGGCAGCAGUGGGGAAUCUUGCGCAAUGGGCGAAAGCCUGACGCAGCAACGCCGCGUGGGGGAUGACGGCCUUCGGGUUGUAAACCUCUUUCGACAUCGACGAAGGGGCCCUGUUGUGGGGUUUUGACGGUAGGUGUAGAAGAAGCACCGGCUAACUACGUGCCAGCCGCCGCCGUAAGAC
rnacentral:rRNA from 1 species